rnacentral:rRNA from 1 species
GACGUAGGGCGCGAGCGUUGUCCGGAUUUAUUGGGCGUAAAGAGCUCGUAGGCGGCUUGUCGCGUCGACUGUGAAAACCUGCGGCUCAACCGUGUGGUCUGCAGUCGAUACGGGCAGGCUGGAGUUCGGUGAGGGGAGACUGGAAUUCCUGGUGUAGCGGUGAAAUGCGCAGAUAUCAGGAGGAACACCGGUGGCGAAGGCGGGGUCACUGGGCCGCAACUGACGCUGAGGAGCGAAAGCAUGGGGGAGCGAAACAGGG